rnacentral:rRNA from 1 species
AUUGAACGCUAGCGGCAGGCUUAACACAUGCAAGUCGAGCGGGGUGAUGGUGCUUGCACUAUCACUUAGCGGCGGACGGGUGAGUAAUGCUUAGGAAUCUGCCUAUUAGUGGGGGACAACAUCUCGAAAGGGAUGCUAAUACCGCAUACGUCCUACGGGAGAAAGCAGGGGAUCACUUGUGACCUUGCGCUAAUAGAUGAGCCUAAGUCGGAUUAGCUAGUUGGUGGGGUAAAGGCCUACCAAGGCGACGAUCUGUAGCGGGUCUGAGAGGAUGAUCCGCCACACUGGGACUGAGACACGGCCCAGACUCCUACGGGAGGCAGCGGUGGGGAAUAUUGGACAAUGGGGGGAACCCUGAUCCAGCCAUGCCGCGUGUGUGAAGAAGGCCUUAUGGUUGUAAAGCACUUUAAGCGAGGAGGAGGCUCUUUUGGUUAAUACCCAAGAUGAGUGGACGUUACUCGCAGAAUAAGCACCGGCUAACUCUGUGCCAGCAGCAGCCGCAGUAA